GCAGCAGUGGGGAAUAUUGGACAAUGGGCGCAAGCCUGAUCCAGCCAUACCGCGUGGGUGAAGAAGGCCUUCGGGUUGUAAAGCCCUUUUGUUGGGAAAGAAAUCCUGCCGGUUAAUAACCAGUAGGGAUGACGGUACCCAAAGAAUAAGCACCGGCUAACUUCGUGCCAGCAGCCGCGGUAAUACGAAGGGUGCAAGCGUUACUCGGAAUUACUGGGCGUAAAGCGUGCGUAGGUGGUUGUUUAAGUCUGCUGUGAAAGCCCUGGGCUCAACCUGGGAAUUGCAGUGGAUACUGGGCGACUAGAGUGUGGUAGAGGAUAGUGGAAUUUCCGGUGUAGCAGUGAAAUGCGUAGAGAUCGGAAGGAACAUCUGUGGCGAAGGCGACUAUCUGGGCCAACACUGACACUGAGGCACGAAAGCGUGGGGAGCAAACAGGAUUAGAUACCCUGGUAGUCCACGCCCUAAACGAUGCGAACUGGAUGUUGGGCACAACUUGGUGCCCAGUAUCGAAGCUAACGCGUUAAGUUCGCCGCCUGGGGAGUACGGUCGCAAGACUGAAACUC
rnacentral:rRNA from 1 species